CCUCAAGUCCUUUAAGAAAUCAGUGAAAACAUACCUUUUUAGUAAAGCUUACCAUCUUAUUCUUACUUCUCCUAUUACAAUUGUCCUCCUCAUUUUUCUCGAAUCCAUAGCCCAGCUUACUCUCAGUCCUUUCACUGCUCACUUGCUUCACACAUCACUUUUACCAGCUAUUUUGACACAGGCAUCUUAUCCAUCAAACCCUCCUCCUCUCUGACAUGCUGAUUUUUUAUUUGUGUCUUUAC